AGAAUUCCGCGAAUCAUCGAGUCUUUGAACGCAACUUGNNCCCGGGGCUCGACCCAGGNNAUUUCUGCCAGAGCGUCACC
rnacentral:rRNA from 1 species